GCCCGGUUAGCUCAGCCGGUAGAGCGUUGGACUUUUAAUCCAAAUGCCAAGGUUUCAAGUCCCUUAUCGGGCU
rnacentral:tRNA from 1 species